rnacentral:rRNA from 1 species
UACGUAGGGUGCGAGCGUUGUCCGGAAUUACUGGGCGUAAAGAGCUCGUAGGUGGUUUGUCGCGUUGUUCGUGAAAACUCACGGCUUAACUAGUGGGCGUGCGGGCGAUACGGGCAGACUGGAGUACUGCAGGGGAGACUGGAAUUCCUGGUGUAGCGGUGGAAUGCGCAGAUAUCAGGAGGAACACCGAUGGCGAAGGCAGGUCUCUGGGCCGAUACUGACGCUGAGGAGCGAAAGCGUGGGGAGCAAACAGG